rnacentral:rRNA from 1 species
UAGUCAUAUGCUUGUCUCAAAGGUUUAACCAUGCAUGUUUUAGUAUAAACAACUUUAUACUGUAAAACUGCGAACGGCUCCUUAUAUCAGCCAUAAUUUUUUUGAUGGUUUCUUUCUACAUGGAUAACUGUAGUAAUUUUAGAGGUAAUACCUGCGUAAAGUCCCCACUCUUGCGGGGAAAAAAAUAUUUUUUUGAUAAAAAACCCAUGCGGGUUUUGCUCGCCUUUGUGUUGAAUCAUAGUAACUUUUCGAACGGCAUGGCCUUGCGCUGGCCGUAGAUCAUUCAAAUUUUUGCCCUAUCAGCUUUUGACGGUAGUGUAGUGGGCUUCCGUGGGGUUAACGGGUAACGGGGAAUUAGGGUUUGAUUCCGGAGAGGGAGCCUGAGAAACGGCUUCCCCAUCCCAGGAAGGCAGCCGGCGCGCGAAUUACCCCAUCCUGACCCAGGGAGGUAGUGACAAAAAAUAACCAUACCUGGCCUAAUUAGGUCGGGUAAUUUUAAAGGGGACAAUUUAAAUCCCUUAACGAGGAUCAAUUG